UUAAAAAGAAAAAAAAUCCUGCUUUUAAAUCUGUGAUUUUUCUGCCAUCCAAUUAGUUAAGCCACCACACUGUUUAGGUCAAAUCAAAUCACUAUAUUUCUGUUCAAAUAACAGCAUUUUUCUCCCCAGUAUAUUGGGAGGGGCUCACGUGCAUGCAUUCAGAAUUUUUUCUUGUAUAAACAAAAUUCUGUUCUCCCUGUUUUUUCAGAGGCCUUGUUAGGUAUCUUAUGAGCAGCUUUUAAAGAAUUAUGUAACAGAUCAUAUUUAAUUCACUUAGUUGAAUUUCAAGGAUAGUUCAACAAAUAAGCCCACUGAACAUCUCCAAUGACAAAUUGCAAAAAAAAAAAAAAAAAAAAAAUUAAUCAAGAACUUGCUAUGCUUUAAAUGGAAAUAAAAAUAAAGUAUUAAAAUAAUGCUCUUCACGUCUUUAAGAAUAACAUUUAAUUUGUAGGGCCAGACAACCCAAGCCUAACAUCACCAAAAAGGCUUACUGAGAGUUUAAGAAAAACAUGACUGGGACAGGCAACUUCUGACGCAGGCAUCUUGGGCCUAAUACUGAUUACGCCUUCUUGAUCCUGUUCCAGCCCCCACCCAUUCCCAUCUGGACACGCCUCACCCCACAGCUGACAAGAUUAUUUCUCACUAGCACAUAGAGCUCUGCCAGGGCCUGCCCUCACCUCCGGAGGGUAGGUGCACCACCCACCUCACACACCCAUUUUUUUCUCAUCUCUGGCUUCCCUCGUCCUUUAUGAGCUGCAUGACAACCCCCAACCCCCAUUCCCAUGCCUGCUGGUGAAAUGGAAAGAGCUGAGCUGUUGUUAAAGUUGCCUGUGUUUCAAUGCCACAUCUUCCUCUGCCAGUUAAAGGACUAGUGCAAUCCUUUAAACUUAAUUUCCCCCAUGUGGAAAACUAAAAAAUUGGAACCAUAUUGUCUCUAAGGCUGCUUCUUCAUAUUCAUACCUUCUCUAAGUGAAUCUACUUCUCCAUGUCAAGAUUCCCUGGUCUGUGGUUCUCAAACCUGGUUACUUAUCGGAACCACCUGAGGACUGUUUAUAUGAUACAGUAUUUCGGGACAGCAUUUCCAAACUAUGUCAGGGCAAUCAUACCCUGCAAGUAUGAAUAGGUGCAUUUCAGAACAAGAUAUUUAGGCAGUGAGUUUGAAGAAACAUCUUUAAGUUGAAUAACUGUCUUUACUGCGGGACUUCUCAGAGUCAUUAAUAGGAUAAUUUGCAUGUGACUCUUCAAAUUUAUUUUGACCCUAGAACUCUUUGUUGGCUUGUCACUAUCUGUACUCUCCCAAACACCUGUUGGCAUACUGACAUCUGGAAGGACACUAGUAUUCUGCCAAAUACUAUUUGAGAAAACACAGUCCUAGAGAACACUGAAGUGGCUAAAAGAACAGGUUCCUGGAUCCUAAGGUACAGCCUCUUUUCUGCCCUCCCUGGAGGCUGCAUCAGUAUCAACAAGCUUGAACAUCCUGUGAACAUCGUCCGCUCACCCUUGUUCCCUCCGUGCCCUGCUCAGAUCCCAUACUGCUAGUUCUAAAAUCAGCUUUCCCACAACCCAGGCAGAGGCCAGAGGUUCCUCCUCCAAGCCUGGGGGAAUCUGAGCUCAUGGAUUUGUUUUACUGUUUCAGUUCACAGCGUUUUGCAGUGACACUGGGAUACCAUCUGAUGGAGAAUAUGCACAGCCAUUCUCUCACAUUACCAUGUGAGUCCCUUAGGCCUUAUCAACUAAUGGUAAAUUUCCUGCUGCAGUUCUCACUUUAGAUAUUGAUGAACUGGGCCUUUUAGUCUCCGUCAAAAGGGAGAUGAGAUGAAAGACCAAACAUCAUUUGAAAUUUGAGCUCCAAAUUGGGGGGAAAAAAAAGUUGAACUCAUUUCUUUGAAAAUUUAUUGUACCACAGUCCAGAUUAACACCCUUGGUACCAUCCAUUGCUAAGCUUUUACAGUGUAAAAUUACUAGAUUCAGGCAGUCGUUGGCCAACAUUAACCCACCUCAGUCAGUUGUGAGGUCUCUAUUCAACUGAUGCUGUCUGUACAGUGGAAAGAUUUCUUUAGAUCUGCCAUUGACUAGCAUCUCAUCUCUCCUAUAUGUUUGCCCUAUCAAGUUGCCUACUUUCCCUUGGUUUCUUGACUUCAAUUAAAAGAAUACAAGGUUUGGGAGCCAGAACGGAAGGCUAGAAUGUAAAAAAGGUCAGAACAUGUGCUUAUUUGAGAGGCAAGGAAGUUUAGUAUAAUCAGAAAUAUUUCCUUUAUCUCUCCCUUUUUAGGAACACACACUCAUUUAUUCCAGAAACAGUAACCAAUUAACAAGCACUGAACUGUGUGUCAGGAGUUAAGUAUGCCCAUGUCUUCAAGAGCUUAGACUCCAGUGCGGAAGACAGAGGCACAAACACAGGUCAGUGAGUUAACUGCCAACAAUGCAGACAGAGAGAGCUAAGAUCCAUGUCCCUAAUUCCCAGGGAGCCGUCUGGCUGGGAUUGUUUCAGGGCUGAAUCCAGAAAUCCAAGUGAUGCCAGCCAGGUAUGCAGAUAACCAAAAAUGCACAUCAGCGGAAGCCAAGGAGUGCCUGCAUACAGAGCUGAGAAUUUCCUCCAGAAAUAAUUCUAUGUCUUCCCCCACACAGGACAGUGGAGGCAAUGGAGAGCCCAGAGUUCCUGACAAUGGAGCAGGGACACCAUAAUUUUU